ensembl:misc_RNA
CUGGCACGAUAUGGGACUGAGCUCCUCAAUUUGUCCAAAGUACAUGUAUCUUGAAGGCAGUGCAAUUUUCCAUAAGCUAUCUUGUCAACAUGUCUCAAUCCUGACCUGCUUAUGGCACCUCCAGAGAGGAGCACACUAUUCAGCCCCCAUGUUCAUUCAGUCCUUGGCUGAG